ACUUACUACUUCAACUCACAAUCUUAGGUCUCUUCGGUAAAUAAUUCAUUUACAUAAACACUAAAAUGACCCUCCAAGUACAAUUCUAGAUGUUUCCUACACGACGGGGAUAUUUCCGCCUUAAAUAUCGGCCAUUGCGUCACCAGUAUGUCCGUGCCGUAAAAAUUCAACACUUGGGAUAAACUGGUGAACAACACAUCUGUCCGAUUAACAUCACUAUCACUAGAAUACGUUUGGGAUUUCUGUAGGGAUGUAGUUUGGAGACUGGACGUCUCUCAUCCGCAGACGCCAUUGACAAGAAACGGCUAUCCAUCCAUUCUUGAAUUUGAAUGCGUUGAGGUAACGAUUUGUGACAUCAAGACGCCUCCAGGU